rnacentral:tRNA from 1 species
GCAUCGAUGGUGUAAUGGUAGCACGAAUGCCUUCCAAUGAUAUCUGAAGAUAUCCAUUGUUGGGCCAGCAUUAGACCCGGGUUCGAUUCCCGGUCGAUGCA